rnacentral:rRNA from 1 species
UACAGAGAGUGCAAGCGUUAAUCAGAAUUACUGGGCGUAAAGCGCACGUAGGUGGAUACCUAAGUCAGAUGUGAAAGUCCUGGGCUUAACCUGGGAAUUGCACCUGAUACUGGGUAUCUUGAGUAUGGUAGAGGGAAGUGGAAUUUCCGGUGUAGCGGUGGAAUGCGUAGAUAUCGGAAGGAACACCAGUGGCGAAGGCGGCUUCCUGGACCAAUACUGACACUGAGGUGCGAAAGCGUGGGGAGCAAACAGG